rnacentral:rRNA from 1 species
GACGAACGCUGGCGGCGUGCUUAACACAUGCAAGUCGAAACGGACCUUAUCGAUGAGCUUGCUUUUUGAUAAGGUUAGUGGCGGACGGGUGAGUAACACGUGGAUAAUCUACCUUCUACACCGGGAUAACACUGUGAAAACGGUGCUAAUACCGGAUAUGGUCACUGAUGCGAUGCACUGGUGAAGAAAAGGGUAACCUGGUAGGAGAUGAGUCCGCGGCUGAUUAGCUAGUUGGGGGGGUAAGAGCCCACCAAGGCGAUGAUCAGUAGCCGGCCUGAGAGGGUGAACGGCCACACUGGAACUGAGACACGGUCCAGACUCCUACGGGAGGCAGCAGUGGGGAAUUUUCCGCAAUGGGCGAAAGCCUGACGCAGCGACGCCGCGUGGAGGAUGAAGGCCUUCGGGUCGUAAACUCCUGUCAGAGGUGAAGAAUGCCCGAAGGGUUUGACGGUAACCUAGAGGAAGCCCCGGCUAACUACGUGCCAGCAGCCGCGGUAAUAGUCACG